GUCCUCUUCUGAGCCUCAGAACUGCUCAGGUGUGUUCCUGAUUGUUUUUUAGUUUAUUGUAAUCCUGAGUAAUAGCUCCACUUUUCCUUCCUUCUAGCAUUACUGUUGGCUCUGUUAGUGGCUUCCAGUGUCAGCAAGUACUCUCUCCCUGUUCUGAGUGUGGGUCUAGACAGUUAGAAAUAGUGGCCAGCUUUAGGUCAUCUGUUCCAGGUUGUGCAAAGACCCCUGUCUUUGGCAGAUGUCUGAAGUAUAGGUUGCACAGGGUCAGGCUUUCCACAGUAGCAGCAGCGCUGCCCAUUUAGUUCUGGUGCUGAGUGUGUGCUGUUGGGAUCCUUUGCUCUCGAGUAGCUGAGCAUCGGUUCUGUUUGUAGGAUGUUCGACAGCGUCACAGGUAUCUCUCUCACUUGCCACUCACCUGUGAGUUCAGCAUCUGUGAACUGGCUCUGCAGCCUCCUGUGGUCUCUAAGGAAACCCUAGAGAUGUUCUCAGAUGACAUUGAGAAAAGGAAGCGUCAGCGCCAAAAGAAGGCUCGCGAGGAGCGGCGCAGAGAGCGCAGAAUUGAACUGGAGGAGAACAAGAGACAGGGCAGGUAUCCCGAGGUCCACAUUCCCCUCGAGAACCUUCAGCAGUUUCCUGCCUUCAAUUCCUACACCUGUUCCUCUGAUUCUGCUUUGGGACCCACCAGCACCGAGGGCCACGGGGC
rnacentral:lncRNA from 1 species